GUAAGGUAUCAACAACAACCAUUCAUUCACCAACCACCUGCCAAAGAUAGUUCCCAAAAUCCAAAUCAUUUUAUUCAUCCACCACCACCACCAAACUAUUAUAGUCCUCAAAUUAGUAGCAAUGGUGAAAAAUUACCUGAAACACAAUUUGAAUAUGUGCCUGAUGAGCUUGAUUAGUCUGAUUAGCCUACAUUCCCCGCUGAAGGAGAUAACCAUUCCCCCAAAAAACAACGCUUGAAAUGGUGCGAGAACGACGAUAUAAUUCUUCUCCAGACAUGGCUCAACAUUUCAAAUGAUUCAGUAACGGGAACUGAUCAAAAGGAAGAAACUUUUUGGCGGAGGAUUGAACAUCAAUACAACAAGUACCGCAAAAUAGGUUCUUCUGAGAAGAAAUGGGCUCAAUUGAAGGCUCACUUUCAUACAUUGAGUAAAGCAGUCUCAACUUUUGUCGGUUGCUACAAGAAAGUUACUAACCCUCCGAAGAGCGGCUAAACCACGAGAAAUGGUUGAGACUAAAACAUUCAAGUUUGAGCAUGCAUGGCGGGUGUUGAAAGAUGAACCCAAGUGGAAUGGAGAAACAAUGUCAAUCUAUUCUAAGCAGUCUCGACAUUCUACUGAUGGGGUGCACACAUCAAUCGAUGGUUCAGAACAUGAGGCAGUACAAAUAUUUUCCCACCCACUGGGGCAUAAAGAUACAAAACGAAAGGUCAAGGCGGCUACAACGACUUCCAACAAUGAAGAAAGGAUGACAGAGGCAAAAUCUCUUGUCAAGGAAAAAACGGAAAGGAUGGCAAGACUUGAGCGUUUAAAGAAGAAUGACCAGCUGAAGAUGAUAAAUGAUAUUCUUCUCCAAGAUACAUCAACAUGAAAGAUGAACAAUUAGCAGAUUUUAGAACAUAUGUGUGUACACUAGGCGCCAAUUAGAGGACUUGUUUAAGGAAUAAUUGUUAUAGUCCUAUUUAUUGUUUUGUUUUAGUCAAUACUAUAAUGUCAUAUUUUUAAUUCUUAUUGUAUUUUAGCCAAUAUUAUAAUGUAUGUUUUUUAUUCUUUAAUUAGUAUUAUU
rnacentral:lncRNA from 1 species